rnacentral:rRNA from 1 species
UACAUGCAAGUCGUGCGGGGUAGGCUUGCUACCCAGCGGCGAACGGGUGAGUAACACGUAGGUAACCUGCCUUAAGACUGGGAUACCCAGAGGAAACUUUGGCUAAUACCGGAUAACAACGGGAGCGGCAUCGCUCCCGCUUGAAAGUCGCGUUUGCGGCACUUUUAGAUGGACCUGCGGAACAUUAGCUAGUUGGUGAGAUAACAGCCCACCAAGGCGAGGAUGUUUAGCCGACCUGAGAGGGUGAACGGCCACAAUGGGACUGAGACACGGCCCAUACUCCUACGGGAGGCAGCAGUAGGGAGUUUUCGGCAAUGGGGGCAACCCUGACCGAGCAACGCCGCGUGAGUGAUUUAAAAGGUCUUCGGAUUGUAAAGCUCUGUUGUAAGGGAAGAAUGCUUGCUUCAGGAAAUGGGAGCGAGAGUGACGGUACCUUACCAGAAAGGGACGGCUAACUACGUGCCAGCAGCUGC